AUGCAAAGCAUGCAUCAGCCACAUCCAUGCUAUCUCCUAAAGCAGUCAUUCUGAAACCCAAUCUGGGGACAGUGCAGACUAAAUAAAAUUUCAUUUUGAUUUGGCCUCCCGCUGCGAAUGGGACUGCUUUGUCUCAGCCGACAGAACCAGCAAGCCAGAAAGGGAAUGAAGACAUUUGGAGAAGAAGCGUUUACUGAAAGGAGAUUCCUGGGCUGGAGGAAAACCAUGAUCUACAGUUCAUGUUGACAGAUAUUGCAUUUUUGGUCCUAGAUCUGACUUUUGAAAUGACUUAUCACAAAUUCAAAUUUAGCAAUCAUGAGUGAAGUACCCACGAUGUGCUAAGCAUCUACCUCUGCAGAUAGAAGAACACUUACCGUUCCUGAGCAUGGGAGGGAACUUCUGUUCCUGGGUCCUGGCCUCACCUCAUCAGGCACUGCCAAAUUUGACACCUCCUUCCUGUUCACGGCAGUCCUUUGGGAUGGGGUAUUAGAUGCCACCAAAUAGCUGCAUAACUCACCCACUUUGUCAGAGCCUGGGUCUAAGCCAGGUCUGACAGACUCCAAAGCAAGCCCUGUUUACAGCAUGACUGGGAUCCAGUGGGUAAGACCAACCUGUCAAUGCCCAAGUGCAGAUGCAAUAAUAGUGCUUCAACUGAUUGUUGCAAACUCCUCAUGAAGGAUGCCAAAUCCCAGUGCAGAUGGUAACACAGGCUACUUUUCACCUCCAACCUCUAAUAUCCUUUCUUUCUUUCUUUCCUUUUUUUUUUUUUUUUUUUUUUUUUGAGAUAGAGUCUCCUCUAUCACCCAGGCUGGAGUGCAACAGCGCGAUCCCAGCUCACUGCAACCUCCACCUCCUGGGUUCAAGCAAUUCUCUCGCCUCAGCCUCCCGAGUAGCUGGGAUUACAGGCACCCGCCAUCACGUCCAGCUAAUUUUUGUAUAUUUGUAGAGACGGGGUUUCACCAUGUUAGCCAGGCUGGUCUUGAACUCCUGACCUCAGGUGAUCUGCCCGCCUCAGCCUCCCAAAGUGCUAGGAUUACAAGUGUGAGCCACCACGCCCGGCCCCAAUAUUCUUUCUUACUAGACACUGUGUAAGCUAAUUAUUCAGCAAGUAUUUUGCACUGAACUCUAAAUAGGUAAGUAUUUUGUGUCCAUUUUACAGACAAGAGAAAUAAAAUAGAUAAAGUAUUUCCCCAAAGCUAUGAUAAAUGAAUCCCAUAGCUAGAAAUGGCAGAAAACCCAUGGAAACUUCUAUGGGGAGUGGAUGUCUGCCUUACCUUGGCACAAUGCUUGGUUCUCAGAUAUCAUUUCAGUGACAUUGCCAAAUGGGAGAAACCAUGUCUGGUACAUGGGACUCAAGCUGCCUCAAAAUAUCCUGAAUGCAUUUUUUCAGGGGAGAAAAUCCAUUUGAAUAAGAAUAGCUAGUUAUAGCUUAUUAUGUGCCAGACACUAUUCAAAGUGUUUAAUGUGUAUUAACUUCUCAAAACCACUCUAUAAGUUAGGUACUAUGAUUUCCAUCUCCAUUUUACAGAUGAGGGAACUGAGCUGUCAAAACUAAGUGACUUGAUUGAGGCCAUGCAGCUGGCGAGGGGAGGACCAGGAUCUGAACCCAACUGGGUCUCCCAAGCCUGGGCCACUGAACCAUUUCACCUCUUGGAAAAACUUAAUGGUCAGAGUGGCCCACCCAGUCCAUGGACAGCAUGGAGGUAAUGAACUUUAAUCAGAAACUUAUUGUGCAUUGACUGAGCACUUAUUCUUUUAAGACAAUAUGUUUGGAUGUCUUUGGAUGUACAGAAUUCAAAUUAUUAAUAAUGUUCACAAAAGUUGCCCUGUAUUUUUAUGCUGAAAUACAACAAAAUGUCAACUCGGUUCCAGUGACCUUUAUACUGUACAUAUUAUGUUUAUUGUAGUUCUGUAUUGUAGCUAAAUUUAUUAUCUAACUUGUUGAUGCCAAUAAGCUGAUGCAUCUGAAAGGUACCUGCAAAAAAAUUAUCAUAUCAAAACACUUCAGAAGAAGCCAUAAAAGUAUUAUGAUAAAAUAUCAGAGGAAGACAUAAAACUGGGGGGAGGUGAAGUUAUACUUUGCAUCAUUUGCUCAUGAUAUUUGAGAAAGUAAAUGUUUCUGUCUUUU
rnacentral:lncRNA from 1 species